rnacentral:rRNA from 1 species
GACGAACGCUGGCGGCGUGCUUAACACAUGCAAGUCGAACGGAAAGGCCCUGCUUGCGGGGUACUCGAGUGGCGAACGGGUGAGUAACACGUGGGUGAUCUGCCCUGCACUUCGGGAUAAGCCUGGGAAACUGGGUCUAAUACCGGAUAGGAGCCAUUUUUAGUGUGAUGGUUGGAAAGUUUUUUCGGUGUAGGAUGAGCUCGCGGCCUAUCAGCUUGUUGGUGGGGUAAUGGCCUACCAAGGCGGCGACGGGUAGCCGGCCUGAGAGGGUGGACGGCCACAUUGGGACUGAGAUACGGCCCAGACUCCUACGGGAGGCAGCAGUGGGGAAUAUUGCACAAUGGGCGCAAGCCUGAUGCAGCGACGCCGCGUGGGGGAUGACGGCCUUCGGGUUGUAAACUCCUUUCGCUAGGGACGAAGCUUUUUGUGACGAUACCUGGAUAAGAAGCACCGGCUAACUACGUG